GACGAACGCUGGCGGCGCGCCUAACACAUGCAAGUCGAACGAGCGAGAGAGAGCUUACUUUCUCGAGCGAGUGGCGAACGGGUGAGUAACGCGUGAGGAACCUGCCUCAAAGAGGGGGACAACAGUUGGAAACGACUGCUAAUACCGCAUAAGCCCACGGCUCGGCAUCGAGCAGAGGGAAAAGGAGCAAUCCGCUUUGAGAUGGCCUCGCGUCCGAUUAGCUAGUUGGUGAGGUAACGGCCCACCAAGGCGACGAUCGGUAGCCGGACUGAGAGGUUGAACGGCCACAUUGGGACUGAGACACGGCCCAGACUCCUACGGGAGGCAGCAGUGGGGAAUAUUGCACAAUGGGGGAAACCCUGAUGCAGCGACGCCGCGUGGAGGAAGAAGGUCUUCGGAUUGUAAACUCCUGUUGUUGAGGAAGAUAAUGACGGUACUCAACAAGGAAGUGACGGCUAACUACGUGCCAGCAGCCGCGGUAAAACGUAGGUCACAAGCGUUGUCCGGAAUUACUGGGUGUAAAGGGAGCGCGGGCGGGAAGACAAGUUGGAAGUGAAAUCCAUGGGCUCAACCCAUGAACUGCUUUCAAAACUGUUUUUCUUGAGUAGUGCAGAGGUAGGCGGAAUUCCCGGUGUAGCGGUGGAAUGCGUAGAUAUCGGGAGGAACACCAGUGGCGAAGGCGGCCUACUGGGCACCAACUGACGCUGAGGCUCGAAAGUGUGGGUAGCAAACAGGAUUAGAUACCCUGGUAGUCCACACUGUAAACGAUGAUUACUAGGUGUUGGAGGAUUGACCCCUUCAGUGCCGCAGUUAACACAAUAAGUAAUCCACCUGGGGAGUACGACCGCAAGGUUGAAACUCAAAGGAAUUGACGGGGGCCCGCACAAGCAGUGGAGUAUGUGGUUUAAUUCGACGCAACGCGAAGAACCUUACCAAGUCUUGACAUCCUGCGACGCACAUAGAAAUAUGUGUUUCCUUCGGGACGCAGAGACAGGUGGUGCAUGGUUGUCGUCAGCUCGUGUCGUGAGAUGUUGGGUUAAGUCCCGCAACGAGCGCAACCCUUAUGGUCAGUUACUACGCAAGAGGACUCUGGCCAGACUGCCGUUGACAAAACGGAGGAAGGUGGGGAUGACGUCAAAUCAUCAUGCCCUUUAUGACUUGGGCUACACACGUACUACAAUGGCGUUAAACAAAGAGAAGCAAGACCGCGAGGUGGAGCAAAACUCAGAAACAACGUCCCAGUUCGGACUGCAGGCUGCAACUCGCCUGCACGAAGUCGGAAUUGCUAGUAAUCGCAGAUCAGCAUGCUGCGGUGAAUACGUUCCCGGGCCU
rnacentral:rRNA from 1 species